GGGAGAGGUCUGGCUGUGACAAAGAGAUGGGGAGAGGUCUGUCUGUAAUAAAGAGAUGGGGAGAGGUCUGUCUGUAAUAAAGAGAUGGGGAGAGGUCUGUCUGUAAUAAAGAGAUGGGGAGAGGUCUGUCUGUAGUAAAGAGAUGGGGAGAGGUCUGUCUGUAGUAAAGAGAUGGGGAGAGGUCUGUCUGUAGUAAAGAGAUGGGGAGAGGUCUGUCUGUAAUAAAGAGAUGGGGAGAGGUCUGGCUGUGACAAAGAGAUGGGGAGAGGUCUGUCUGUGAUAAAGAGAUGGGGAGAGGUCUGUCUGUAAUAAAGAGAUGGGGAGAGGUCUGGCUGUGACAAAGAGAUGGGGAGAGGUCUGUCUGUAAUAAAGAGAUGGGGAGAGGUCUGUCCGUAAUAAAGAGAUGGGGGAGGUCUGUCUGUAAUAAAGAGAUGGGGAGAGGUCUGGCUGUAAUAAAGAGAUGGGGGAGGUCUGUCCGUAAUAAAGAGAUGGGGGAGGUCUGUCCGUAAUAAAGAGAUGGGGAGAGGUCUGUCUGUAAUAAAGAGAUGGGGAGAGGUCUGUCUGUAAUAAAGAGAUGGGGAGAGAUCUGUCUGUAAUAAAGAGAUGGGGAGAGGUCUGUCUGUAAUAAAGAGAUGGGGAGAGGUCUGUCUGUAAUAAAGAGAUGGGGAGAGGUCUAGCCACAACACAGAGAUGGGGAGAGGUCUGUCUGUAAUAAAGAGAUGGGGAGAGGUCUGUCUGUAUUAAAGAGAUGGGGAGAGGUCUGUCUGUAAUAAAGAGAUGGGGAGAGGUCUGUCUGUAAUAAAG
ensembl:lncRNA